GGGGGCCGGGCUAGCGGGCUACUGGGCUGCGGAGACCAGAGCCCGGCUCCACUGAAGAAACCCGCCGGCUGCUGGGGCAGGGCGGCGAAAGGUCAGUCGGCCGAGAGGAGUCCGUGGAGCCACCGUUUCAUAGCCUCAGGGAAAGGAUCGGGCGUGCUCACGAGCCCUCUAACCCAUGGCUUAAACACCCGCUUCCUAAGCCUGGAUGGAAUGAUAGGGUAUGCAUAAAUGUUCAUGUGGGCUCUGGAGUAUACCAGGAACUGAAGUAAGGUACAUGGACGUCUUGAAUAUUGUAACUGAGAUGGGCAAGCCUACACCUUUGCAAAUAAAGGAGGAUUGGGAAAGAUUAAGAUCCUGUUAAACGUCAGUGUUACUAUUUAGCCUUUGAUAUCUCCAGUAAAGGCAACUUCUUUCUGGACCCAGAAAUAAAGCUUUACAUUAGCAGCUUCCAUAACACCAAUAACAUGAAUGACCAUCUACUGAGCAAUUGCAGUGCACCAGGAUUAUGGCUUAUGAGCACUUUAUGUUUAUUAUCUCACAACUCACUGAGUUAGAUACUCUCCACAACCCAGUGAGCCUCUCAAGCACUGUGAAAAAUCACUUUCUCUUGUUGUAUUCUUGGAGCCCCUGCUAAUUCAUUAUUGAAAAAUACCUGCUGCCUGCAUUUGGCCUUAUGUUGUCAUUUACUUGGUACUUCCUAAGCGUGGCUACUCCAAUGAAGCUUUAGUAUAUGUACUGAAAGAAGAUCCUCUCAUACUGCCACAGCCAAGAGAUAAGGUUGUAAAUCUUUAUUGGGAGAAGCCGUCAAGGACAGUUCUGUGAAAUGAAAGGAUCUCUGGAUCACCACAAAGUCUGGCUCAGUGACUAUGGCUUUGCAAACACUAAACAUUCCUGUCUCAAGUCCUGUAGAUGGCUUGAAAUAGUAUACAUAAGCAUGCCUUAUAAACAUCUUCAGUCUUUAUCAACUCUUUGGAGAUUCAGCCAUUCUUUUUUGUACUUUAGGGAAUUAAAUCAUUUUAUAAUGUAUAAAUCUGAGCAUGGCCGAUGGCAGAAGAAAUUUUGUCAUACGUUUUUAAAGAAAUAAAAAUGUAUUAUGUUUUAAAA
rnacentral:lncRNA from 1 species